UGGGAAGUCUUGCGCAAUGGACGAAAGCCUGAUCCAGCAAUGCAGCGUGAGUGAUGAAGGCCUUAGGGUUGUAAAGCUCUUUUACCCGGGAUGAUAAUGACAGUACCGGGAGAAUAAGCCCGCUAGCUACCCGUGCCAGCAGCCGCGGUAAUACGGAGGGGCGUAGCGUUGUUCGGAAUUACUGGGCGUAAAGCGUACGUAGGCGGCUUUGUAAGUUAGAGGUGAAAGCCCGGAGCUCAACUCCGGAAUUGCCUUUAAGACUGCAUCGCUUGAAUCAUGGAGAGGUUAGUGGAAUUCCGAGUGUAGAGGUGAAAUUCGUAGAUAUUCGGAAGAACACCAGUGGCGAAGGCGACUAACUGGACAUUGUAUUGACGCUGAGGCUCGAAAGCGUGGGGAGCAAACA
rnacentral:rRNA from 1 species